rnacentral:rRNA from 1 species
UACGUAGGUGGCAAGCGUUGUCCGGAAUUACUGGGUGUAAAGGGCGUGUAGGCGGGGAUGUAAGUCAGAUGUGAAAUUCCGGAGCUCAACUCCGGCGCUGCAUCUGAAACUAUAUCUCUUGAGUACUGGAGAGGAAAGUGGAAUUCCUAGUGUAGCGGUGAAAUGCGUAGAUAUUAGGAGGAACACCAGUGGCGAAGGCGGCUUUCUGGACAGUAACUGACGCUGAGGCGCGAAAGCGUGGGGAGCAAACAGG